GCGAGCCGGGUUGGUCCCCAGCGCCCCCGGCCCGCGAAGCGGCCGUCGCCGCCGUGUUAGCGCCGGCGGGCUCCGUGGUGACAGCCGUGUCUCCCCUUCUCCGGCACGUCUGUUGCGGCGGCGCCAGCCCGCUCCCUCUGCCGCCAGCAGUCCCUGUUCCCUGCUCGGUCCCUCACGCUUCCGCCGGGACACGGUCCACACCCCCGUCACGUGACCCGGAGCCAGCCUCACGCCAGCGGGGGCUGCCAUCUUGGAUUCGGACAGGUAUCCUGGCGGCUCCGCGGACAGUGAAGCUGCGGGCGGCCAUCUUGGGUCCGGGCUAGGGAAUCUCCACAGGGGUGAGGCGGCGGCCAUCUUGGGUCCGGGUGUGAAGCCAGUUGGCUUCCCCGCGACGCCCGGAGAGCGGCGCGGGUGUUUUCCCGAGGGAGCCAUGUUGGAUACGGGCAAGCCGAGCCCUCCCGCUGUGGCCAUCUUGAGGCCUGGCAGAGACGCGCCGUCGGGUUCAUGGGUGGAGGAAGGCGGUGUAUCAGCGUGUCCUUCCUGGGUAAUGCUGAAAGGCAAAGUUACUGAAGAACUCGAAGUGGAAUACCUCUGCUUUUUGCCCUGGCAGAGAGGAAUGGGAAGCAGUAGUGUGGAUAAGUACAGCCCUUGGUCAUGUCCCAGUCAUUGGUAUUGUGGAAGUUUCAUCGCUGGCAUUUGUUGGAGCCUAAAUUGUAGGUCUGUUCUGCGGUGA
ensembl:lncRNA